GGGCCAAGCAGCGGGCGCCCGAGGGCAGCGAUGAGCCACAGCAGAACCUCACCUGGUUCGAGUUCCUGUCGAACGAGAAUGAGGACAGCGGGAAGAGCGAUAAGGUGGAGAAAGGCACCACGGUGAUGCGACGCCUGAGUUCCCUGCGGAGCCGCGUCACAGGAUCCUGGCAGAAGGAUAAGGGUAAGAACAAAGAGCAGCAGAGGGAGAAGGAG